CUUCCCCCGUGAACCUUCCUGUGAUCUGAAGGCUUGGAAUGAAAAUGAACAAAAUGUCCAGCAAAUCACUCUGGAUAUACUCUCCAUGAGACAGAAGAAUUCAUAAAACAAACAUGUACCCUGCAUCUGUCCUUUGGAUAAAGCAGCAAGAUGUGAUCCU